AGUAGUUAAGAGCUUGGCUGCUAACCAAAAAGUUGGUAGUUCAAAUCUACCAGCUGCUC
rnacentral:tRNA from 1 species